rnacentral:rRNA from 1 species
UACGUAGGGGGCGAGAGUUGUCCGGAUUUACUGGGUGUAAAGGGUGCUCAGGUGGAUUUGUAAGUCAGAGGUGAAAUCCCAAAGCUUAACUUUGGAGCUGCCUUUGAUACUGCAAGUCUGGAGUUUGGAAGAGGGUAAUGGAAUAUCUGGUGUAGCAGUGAAAUGCGUAGAUAUCAGAUAGAACACCAAUGGCGAAGGCAGUUGCCUGGUCCAAAACUGACACUAAAGCACGAAAGUGUGGGGAGCAAACAGG